AUUGGAGAGCAUGGUUGUGCCAAGGCUCUCUAGCCAGGACAGCCCAUCCUCAGGCCACCCAGCUCCGUGAGUGAGUUCCCUGCACAGCCUGUGACUGACUCACCGAUGCAGUGGGGCUGAUCUUCACAUGGCACCCCAAGCAGGCUUUUCCAGUUCACAUCUGCCAACAAGGCAGCCAAGGGGGUGGUUUAGGAAGUAGAGAAAAGGUGAAAAGGCAGCGGAGGGAGCCGGCUGUCCUGUGUCUCCUCUUUUUCCUGCCCCCAGUGACUUGCAUUUUCUCUGAGACAGCUGCCAUUCUAGUCUCCCAGCCAUUCUUAGGAAGAGACGUGCCUGUCUCUGGGAAGAGGCAACUUCUCUGCAUGUCAGAGGUUUUCUCAUCCACUCCUGAGAUUCAGACACAAGGAGCAUGGAUUACCCACUGGAAGUCUCACAAGCAUCUCACAUUCCAGUCUGUUGUGGCUACUGUGCUGUGCCAACCAGAAUCCCUGCUAUGAUGGAAGGCCCCCCUUCAUCAGCUACUGAGAAGGUUGUCAGCUUAUGGCUCAGCUAUUAGCCUUUUCCACGAAUGGCCAUCAGCUGAAGGGAACCAUAUCACCCAAGGUCUGUUACAUUUCCCAGAAUGGUUCCCAGUGCUGGAGAUAAUUCCUUUUCGGAGAACCUACAUUUCUCACCUGCUGAUUGCAAUUAGCCACUACCAGCUGGGGCCUGGUGUGCAGCUGAAAAGCUAACAAGAAGUGGAGACCACGCGGAACUCAGACAGGGCAUAGGAUGUGCAUAAAUAAGCAACGGUGCCUGUGUUUAUGAGAUGCUCCUGUGAAUUCGAGGCUUCCCCACCCUCUGCAUAACUCUCCCUCUUCUGGCUUUGUGCUGCACACCCCUCCCCUAACUAUAUUUUUUGUCUCUGGUUUUGUAGCCUACGUUUAACAUCACAGUCACGAAUUUACCACUAAGUACAUUUUGUUAGGCAAUAAACAGCCUUGGAAGAAAAAUGAAAUCCGACUAGGACUUCUGUUCUAAUAAUGUCUGUGAGCUGUGGUGGAUUCAGGCAGGCCCCACAUGCAGGUCUUAGAGCUAACCUUGACCAUGAGGGCUAGUGGGGCUGGGAGAGGGCUCAGGGACCCCAAUUCAACUCCCUUAUUUUAUGGGGGAGGAUACUGAAUCCCAGAACGGGAGCAUGGCCUGUCCAAAGUCUUAAAGGAAGUCACAGGACUGGAU
rnacentral:lncRNA from 10 species